GAUGUCUCGUCCCGCCCCGACGCACAAAGAUGGUCUGACAAGGCUGCUUCAACAGAUGCACCGGCUGCUGACUCUAGUGCAGGGAGUGCUGAGCAACCUUGACACUCAUCUGCCAUUUGAGCAUAAACUGCAUUCCCUGCCUAUUAUACACUUCAGGCCUCAAGACUUAGCAACAGUAGAGAUGAAUACUACACUGACACAGCUUUCAUCAGGCCUCCAUUCGUUCAAGUUGCACUUUGACUGGCUGCUACACUGGGAGGACCAGGCAGGUUUGGAGACACAUAAAACCAAAGAAAUUGAUCAUCAAAUCCAGAAUAUCAACAACCUGCUUCACAAACAGAUGCCAGAGCUGCCUCUUCAAAACACCACUCUUAACCUGCCACCUCCCAGCUCUGCCUGGGACAUGUUCCAGACGUCUGCAGUAGUGCACAGAAGACUACUGCUGUUCUGUGACUGGUAUCUCAGAGCUCUUCGAGUUCUCAAGCUCCAGGCAAAACAAACACAAAGGCAAUAGUUGAUGGAAUCACACCUAACCUCUCACCCUGUCUCAGUGCUGUACAAAAAGAAGAUGGCAACAUGGCAAAUGAUUCCUGUUUGCCUUAAAAAAGUGUUGCCAUGGUAUAAUUUAGGAUUUCCAUCGGUCCAUCAUGUACUGGACCAAACCAUUUUAAUUAACUGAAAGAGUUCAGUUAUUUUAUUGAUCAUUAAUUUAUUGAUGUUUUAACUUAUUUAUUUAUUUUGGAAUAUUUUGGACU
rnacentral:lncRNA from 1 species